rnacentral:rRNA from 3 species
AUGGUGCGUAUCUUGAAUGUCAAAACGACUCUCGGCAACGGAUAUCUCGGCUCUCGCAUCGAUGAAGAACGUAGCGAAAUGCGAUACUUGGUGUGAAUUGCAGAAUCCCGUGAACCAUCGAGUCUUUGAACGCAAGUUGCGCCCGAAGCCUUCGGGCCGAGGGCACGCCUGCCUGGGCG